UCAGGAUGAACGCUAGCGGGAGGCCUAACACAUGCAAGCCGAGCGGUAGAGAUUCUUCGGAAUCUUGAGAGCGGCGUACGGGUGCGGAACACGUGUGCAACCUGCCUUUAUCAGGGGGAUAGCCUUUCGAAAGGAAGAUUAAUACCCCAUAAUAUAUUAAGUGGCAUCACUUGAUAUUGAAAACUCCGGUGGAUAAAGAUGGGCACGCGCAAGAUUAGAUAGUUGGUAGGGUAACGGCCUACCAAGUCAGUGAUCUUUAGGGGGCCUGAGAGGGUGAUCCCCCACACUGGUACUGAGACACGGACCAGACUCCUACGGGAGGCAGCAGUGAGGAAUAUUGGACAAUGGGUGAGAGCCUGAUCCAGCCAUCCCGCGUGAAGGAUGACGGCCCUAUGGGUUGUAAACUUCUUUUGUAUAGGGAUAAACCUUUCCACGUGUGGAAAGCUGAAGGUACUAUACGAAUAAGCACCGGCUAACUCCGUGCCAGCAGCCGCGGUAAUACGGAGGGUGCAAGCGUUAUCCGGAUUUAUUGGGUUUAAAGGGUCCGUAGGCGGAUCUGUAAGUCAGUGGUGAAAUCUCACAGCUUAACUGUGAAACUGCCAUUGAUACUGCAGGUCUUGAGUAAGGUAGAAGUAGCUGGAAUAAGUAGUGUAGCGGUGAAAUGCAUAGAUAUUACUUAGAACACCAAUUGCGAAGGCAGGUUACUAUGUCUUAACUGACGCUGAUGGACGAAAGCGUGGGGAGCGAACAGGAUUAGAUACCCUGGUAGUCCACGCCGUAAACGAUGCUAACUCGUUUUUGGGGCUUCGGCUUCAGAGACUAAGCGAAAGUGAUAAGUUAGCCACCUGGGGAGUACGUUCGCAAGAAUGAAACUCAAAGGAAUUGACGGGGGCCCGCACAAGCGGUGGAUUAUGUGGUUUAAUUCGAUGAUACGCGAGGAACCUUACCAAGGCUUAAAUGGGAAUUGAUCGGUUUAGAAAUAGACCUUCCUUCGGGCAAUUUUCAAGGUGCUGCAUGGUUGUCGUCAGCUCGUGCCGUGAGGUGUUAGGUUAAGUCCUGCAACGAGCGCAACCCCUGUCACUAGUUGCUACCAUUAAGUUGAGGACUCUAGUGAGACUGCCUACGCAAGUAGAGAGGAAGGUGGGGAUGACGUCAAAUCAUCACGGCCCUUACGCCUUGGGCCACACACGUAAUACAAUGGCCGGUACAGAGGGCAGCUACACAGCGAUGUGAUGCAAAUCUCGAAAGCCGGUCUCAGUUCGGAUUGGAGUCUGCAACUCGACUCUAUGAAGCUGGAAUCGCUAGUAAUCGCGCAUCAGCCAUGGCGCGGUGAAUACGUUCCCGGGCCUUGUACACACCGCCCGUCAAGCCAUGGAAGUCUGGGGUACCUGAAGUCGGUGACC
rnacentral:rRNA from 1 species